UCCCUGGUGGUCCAGUGGUUAAGACUCGACGCUUCCGCUGCUGAGGCCCAGGUUCAGUCCCUGGUCAGGGAA
rnacentral:tRNA from 1 species